rnacentral:lncRNA from 1 species
CCCAUACCCAGCCCACUUGGCCAGACACUUCACUUACAAAUAUGUUCUCCUGCUGUGUCCCCUCUUAACGGGGCUCUUGUUUCCGGAAAGCCUGGAGUGAGAGCCUUUUCGGAAGCUGCAGACAUUUGUUCAACCCUCGCUCGAUCCAGACACCUCUGGCCAUUUGCCAGGAGGUCCCCGAAGAGCUCCACCCAUGAGACGGGACAGGAGCUGAUCAGUGGGGUCCUCUACUGCAUCUUCCUGCAGGGUGGGCAGGUGCCCCACAUCAGCCACAGAGUCCGGUGCUGGCUCAUGGUGCACUUGUUGUCUUGCCAAGCCUUCCGCACCUUCUCCAGGUCUUACACAUCAUCGUGAUCAGUAGGGAUGUCUUUACCCAAAGCCACAGGGGGCUCAUGGGUGAAAAUGUGUCCACAGUGAAAUGGAAGAGACCCGCAUGGUGUGGACCGUCCAGGGAGGCAGGCCAGAAAAGCAAGUGGAGCACCUGGUGUUCGCCUUCCUGGGCAGUGACCCCUCAUACGUGCCCACCCUCCUGGGCACCUGCAGAGCUUCUGCCAACACCCAACAGCACUCGACCUGCUGUUCAAAGGCGAGCACUAAGUCCGUCCACGAGACAGUGGUGUUUUGGUGACUUACUAGCUGUGAGACUUCAGAAUGUCACUGCCCCUCUCUGAGCCUCAGUUUGCUCCUGUGAACCUUGGAGUGAAUAGAGCACCAACCUCAUAGGGUUAUUUUCAAAACUAAGUGGGUCCACCAUGGAAAGUGCUGUCCGGGUGCCUGGCCCUGGGGCAAGAACUGCUGCAGGGCCAUGUUUGUGCUAAUUUAUCAUUUCCCUCAUGCCAUGA